rnacentral:misc_RNA from 1 species
AAAUAAAAUAAAAAUAAAAUAAUAGAGAGAAGUCAACCGGUGCAAAUCCGAAGCUUAAGAUAACAAACCAAUGUCAAUGAUCGGAGAGACAAAGCACUCUGUACUCUUCUUUUCCUUCCUUUAACUAAUUUGCUUUUGCUCGAUCAAUUGUGUCCUUGCCCCUUGUGAAAAGGACAAAACCAUGGCUGCAGCCUUGGUAGGAGGAUCCUUUCUCUCUGCUUUCCUUCAAGUUUUGUUCGAUAGGAUGGCUUCUCCUGAAAUAGUUGACUUCUUCAGGGGUCGAAAGCUUGAUGAUGGGUUGCUCAAUAAAUUGAAUAUAACAUUAAAUUCUGUUGAGGGAGUGCUUGAUGAUGCAGAGGAGAA